CCUACGGGGGGCAGCAGUGAGGAAUAUUGGUCAAUGGGCGGGAGCCUGAACCAGCCAAGCCGCGUGAAGGAUGACUGCCCUAAGGGUUGUAAACUUCUUUUGUAAAGGAAUAAAGUGAGGCACGUGUGCCUUUUUGUGUGUACUUUAUGAAUAAGGAUCGGCUAACUCCGUGCCAGCAGCCGCGGUAAUACGGAGGAUCCGAGCGUUAUCCGGAUUUAUUGGGUUUAAAGGGAGCGUAGAUGGGUUGUUAAGUCAGUUGUGAAAGGUUGGGGCUCAACCGUAAAAUUGCAAUUGAUACUGGCAGUCUUGAGUACGGGUGAGGUAGGCGGAAUUCGUGGUGUAGCGGUGAAAUGCUUAGAUAUCACGAAGAACUCCGAUUGCGAAGGCAGCUUACUAAACUGCCACUGACAUUGAUGCUCGAAAGUGUGGGUAUCAAACAGGAUUAGAUACCCUUGUAGUC
rnacentral:rRNA from 1 species